rnacentral:rRNA from 1 species
UACGGGGGGGGCAAGCGUUGUUCGGAAUUACUGGGCGUAAAGGGCUCGUAGGUGGCCAACUAAGUCGGACGUGAAAUCCCCAGGCUCAACUUGGGAACUGCGUCCGAUACUGGAUGGCUUGAAUUCGGGAGAGGGAUGCAGAAUUCCAGGUGUAGCGGUGAAAUGCGUAGAUAUCUGGAGGAACACCGGUGGCGAAGGCGACAUCCUGGACCAACACUGACGCUGAGGAGCGAAAGCCAGGGGAGCAAACGGG